UACGAAGGGGGCUAGCGUUGCUCGGAAUUACUGGGCGUAAAGCGCACGUAGGCGGCUUUCUAAGUCGGGGGUGAAAUCCUGGAGCUCAACUCCAGAACUGCCUUCGAUACUGGAGAGCUCGAGUCCGGGAGAGGUGAGUGGAACUGCGAGUGUAGAGGUGAAAUUCGUAGAAUUAUUCGCAAGAACACCAGUGGCGAAAG
rnacentral:rRNA from 1 species